AACUGCAAGUCGUCGUCAAACAUGGACAGACUUCACAUCAUUUUUGUCCUUUUUUUAGGUAAUAUUUUGGAAGGAGCCUUUUAUGAAACAUUUAUUUUAUGUAACAUUUACCUAUUCUACUGAUUUUAUUUGACAUCACCUACAUUAACUUCUGUACUCGAUAAUUACAAUUAUGUAGUACAAUGUGAAAGAUUGGCAAAAUUUAACAUUGUGUUUGUAUUUCAGGAGGUGAUUGGAUUUCUGGAUCAGUGGUGGAUCUGACAGUGAGAUCUGGAGAAAACAUAACUCUGUAUUGUGACCGUACCACACCAUCUGAGGAAUAUAUUGUGUGGUACAGAAAUUGUACCCAUGAAAAUCAGCCUCCUCUUGUCUUAAAACAAACAAAGGAUUCAUGGAAACCCAUCUGUAACCGAGCAACUUUAGUGAAUUCUCUACCUCGCUUCCACUUUGUAAACAACCAGUCCUCUGGAUCGUAUGACCUGCUGAUUGUGAAUAUUUCUGAUUCUGAUGAGGGCCUCUAUUACUGUGGAACUGAGCAGAAACAGCUAAAGGAUAAAAAGGAUAUUAACCUUGAAUUUGUUCAGAGUUAUGGCAGUGUGGCGACAAGGAUUAAAAUCAACUCCAGUGAUCCACAUUCUUCAACUUUAACUGAUCAAACAUCUCCACAAGAUUGCGGCAUGUGUUGGAAACUGCUCUUCAUCCUGUGUCCAACUUUUGCAGCUCUCUCCUCUCUUCUUGUAUCUCUUCUUGUUCAUUACCUCUGCCAGAAAACAGAAGUCGAUCAACAAAGACCAGAAAUCAGUGGGCAAACAAGAAGAACUCAGGUAAAUUACAUUAAUAUUCAAUCCAUAUUUUUUCAGCACUUGUCAUAAUUAAUUCUAACAAAAUGAAUCAUUUAUAGAAAACCAAUCAUAUUCAUAAUUACAAACAACAAAUUCAUUCACAGGAUGAAGAUGUGCUUUAUGCUACAGUGCAAACACGUCAAGCAACACAGAGAUCAAAGAAGAAGAUAACCUAUAGUUCUGACUUCUGCACCUAUUCUACUGUCAAGACCUCUGGGGUCUAGAUUUUACAUUCAAAAGUGCAUUAUGAAUCAGAAGUGAUUAAGUUUUUUGUUUUUCCAUUUUUCCUCUACCUACCAAGAUUAGUAAUAAUUAAAAUUGUCCAUUUCUUCUUCAGUGAGAUGCUUGUUUUCGAUGAUAUUUAAAGGUAUAUAGCCAGACAUUUUUUGAAGUUAUUUAAUGCAAAAAAUAUUGUUCUUGUAAAUUCCGACAGACUGAUGUAUCAUCAUUAAUCCAUUAAAAAUACAUAUGAAAAUACAUGAGUGCUUGUAAAAGCUCCUAUGUUGCCCUGCCAUCGUGAAUAGUGCCUGUGAUGAAAAUCACCUUUCUGCCUAAUCACAUUUUAUGUAUGUGGCUAGAGACUGGUCUCAUGUGUUGUAUGCCAAAAACAGAAGACAGGACCACUCAUAGGCAUUUGUGUGGAGACAAAUUUCAAUUUCUGCUUGCUUCAUCACGUCUGUGUUUUUUCAUUUGAGAAGGGGUCCCCUUCAUCAAAGAAGCAAAUACACAAAGAAAAGAGACAACAUGACCAACACUGGGAUAAAGAGAAAGUAAAUACUGGCGCCAGUGAUACUGAAGUUGCCUGCUUUCUCCUUUAGGUCUCAAACCAGGGAUCUUGGUUGUUACAUGACUGUUUAAACCACUUCAUGCAGCCCCUAUAACUGUAUAUAACACAAUGGAAGUAGACACUCACUUACUUCAUUAGGAUUUUCCCAUCUCUAGGGUUUACGUCUUCGGUACCUAAGUACUAAUGUAUGGCUCAUGGCAUUAUUAAAUAUCUUUCCAUUUGAUACAUAAACCUAUAAUUUAUUUACAAUUCCACUAUUCAUUCACUCUCACAUUCACACACUGGUGGAGGCAAGCUACAGUUGUAGCCACAGCUGCCCUGGGGGAGACUGCAAGCGAGGCUGUCAUAUCGCGCCAACACCAGUAGGCGGUAGGGUAAAGUGUCUUGCCCGAGGACACAACGACCAGGACAGAGAGCCUGGGGAUCGAACCUGCGACCUUCCAGUUACAGAUGCGCUUCCCAACCCCCUGCAUUUUCCCGAGUUGAGUGGGAACAUUUCUCCAAGUGGUAAAGACGGCCACACGAAGGGCAUCUAUGUCUGGAACUGUUGCCCAUUUUUGUAAACUUCCCUUGCCAUCCAUCCCCAAAGGUUUUCAAUUGGAUUUAGAUCAGGGUAACAUGCAGGAUGCUCCAAGAGACUGAUGUUAUUCUCUUGGAAGAACUGCUUUGUUCUGCAGGCAUUGAGUAAUGUAGCGUUGUCCUGUUGAAAAACCCAGUCGUUACCACACAGACGAAGGCCCUCAGUCAUGAGGAAUUGUCUCUGCAACAUCUGGACAUAGCCAGCGGCCGCUUGACACCCCUGCACCUCCUGAAGCUCCAGUGUUCCACUGAAGGAAAAAGCACCCCAGACCAUUAUGGCCCCGCCUCCACUGUGGCACGUAGAAAACAUCUCAGGUGGGAUCUGCUUGUCAUGCCAAUAAAGUUAGAAACCAUCAUGGCCAUCAAGGUUAAAUGUUUUCUUAUCAGAGAGUAAAACUUUCUUCCACCUUUCAAUGUCCCAUAUUUGGUGCUCUCUUGCAAAGUCCAAAUGGUCAGUUCUGUGGCAUUCAAGGAGGCGAGGCUUUUGAAGACGUUUUUUUUAUUUUUGAAGCCCUUCAGUCUCAGAUGUGUAGGAUUUGUAGGAUUUGCCACCAUGCAUCAAAGGUCAGUGUUAGAGCAAGAGAAGUGUUUCUCAUUGUAACAAGGUUACAAAAAUAUGA
rnacentral:lncRNA from 1 species